AGAGUUUGAUCCUGGCUCAGAUUGAACGCUGGCGGCGUGCCUAACACAUGCAAGUCGAGCGGUAACAGGUGUAGCAAUACAUGCUGACGAGCGGCGAACGGGUGAGUAAUGCUUUGGAAUCUUCCCAGUAGUGGGGAAUAACCAGUCGAAAGAUUGGCUAAUACCGCAUACGUCUGUAAAGGGAAAGCGGGGGCUCGUAAGACCUCGCGCUAUUGGAUGAGCCAAAGUCGGAUUAGCUAGUUGGUGGGGUAAUGGCCUACCAAGGCGACAAUCCGUAGCUGGUCUGAGAGGACGACCAGCCACACCGGAACUGAGACACGGUCCGGACUCCUACGGGAGGCAGCAGUGGGGAAUAUUGGACAAUGGGGGAAACCCUGAUCCAGCGACGCCGCGUGUGUGAAGAAGGCCUGCGGGUUGUAAAGCACUUUU
rnacentral:rRNA from 1 species